AGGGGGAAAAAAGCUAAAAAUAAGGAUAAAAUGAAAAAUAGGCAAGAAAAGAAAUAAUCAGCAUGAAAAAUGAAAAGGGAUAAUUUCACAAACAUCCCUUGAGAUUUUUAAUAGUUACAAAAAGCUCCCCUCAAAAUUUAAAAAUUACAUAUACUUUGCAUACUUUUACUAUUUAUAUAAGAGCAAAUUAUUUGAGCAGCCAUUGAACUAUUUGAAUAGUAAAAAUUUGGCCCUUCAAUUAUUCAUAACAUAUUUUUACCCAUUGA
rnacentral:lncRNA from 1 species